UACAGAGGGUGCGAGCGUUGUCCGGAAUCACUGGGCGUAAAGGGCGCGUAGGCGGCUCUGCAAGCGUGCGGUGAAAGCUCGGGGCUUAACUCCGAGUCUGCCGUGCGAACUGUGAGGCUUGAGUCUGGUAGAGGUCGAUGGAAUUCCGGGUGUAGCGGUGGAAUGCGUAGAGAUCCGGAAGAACACCCGUGGCGAAGGCGGUUCUCUGGGACGGUACUGACGCUGAGACGCGAAAGCGUGGGGAGCGAACAGG
rnacentral:rRNA from 1 species